GAUGAACGCUAGCGACAGGCCUAAUACAUACAAGUCGAGGAAUAAGGCUCAUUUCGGUGAGUACACGACCGGCGCACAAGUGCGUAACGCAUAUGCAACCUACCUUUAACAGAAGGAUAGCCCGAAGAAAUUCGGAUUAACACCCCAUAACACUGCGAUGUAGCAUCACAAUACAGUUAAAACUCCGGUAGUUAAAGAUGGGCAUGCGUGACAUUAGCUAGUUGGUAAGGUAACGGCUUACCAAGGCUACGAUGUCUAAAGGUUCUGAGAAGAUGAUCCCCCACACUGGUACUGAGACACGGACCAGACUCCUACGGGAGGCAGCAGUAAGGAAUAUUGGUCAAUGGGCGCAAGCCUGAACCAGCCAUGCCGCGUGCAGGAAGACGGCCUUAUGGGUUGUAAACUGCUUUUAUAUAGGAAUAAACCCCCAUUCGUGAAUGGGGCUGAAGGUACUAUACGAAUAAGCACCGGCUAACUCCGUGCCAGCCGCCGCCGUAACAC
rnacentral:rRNA from 1 species